AAUUUAGAAAACUAAGUUUAUAAUUAAUUAUUGUACUGCUAAAUAUGUAUGCUUUUUUAUUUUAGAGAGAAAGCCAGCAUACUAUCCGUUUUAUUUAUUUUUUUAGAAAUAAAUUUAACUAAAUCAGUCAUUUUUUACCACUUGCGCUAAAACCUAUCGAUAUAUAUAUAUAUUCUUUUAGAUAAUAAAUAUGAACUUAUUUAUACCGACAUAUCAAUCAUACAUAAGGCUAAAGUAUUCAUUUGGUUUUUUCUACGAAAAAAAAUUCUUACGGCCGAUGGGCUGCUUAAUAGAGGUCGGUACAAGUGGAGCAACUUUGCAUUUUCUGUGCUUUCAAUGUGGAAAGCUGCGAUCACCUCUUGUGUAACUGCAUGUUUGUUCGAUAUCUUCUUUUUUGUGCGGAUGGUUUGAAGGUUCUUGCUUAGGUCUUGGACGACGUUUGAAUACUCUGGUCAAGAACAUCUAAUCUAAAUGAUAUUGUAAAGAGAACAAAAGGUCUAACAUUUUUGUCGACAAUCUGGUGGGUCGUUUGGAUAGAGAGGAAUAAUAUUAUCUUUCAAGCGAAACUCCUCAACCUUAUCGGAUCUGUUGAGCAUGUCGAACUCCUAAUGGCCUUUUGGAAUGAGAUCCACUGACCGCUGACCGCCGACUGCCGACCCCUAUAUUCGUCUUCAAUUUUUUUAUCCCUUAAUUUUUUUAAAAUUUUUUUUUUCUUUUACUCCUCCUUUUUUACACUUCUCCUCACUCUUCUUUUCUCUUACUUAUGUCUCACUUUUUUCUUCUUUUUUUUUUUUUUUCAAAAGUCCUAACAUCUUUCAUCUUAUAUACUUAACUAUAUAAAAAGACAUUAUCUUAC
rnacentral:lncRNA from 1 species